rnacentral:lncRNA from 1 species
UGUUCAGGUAUUUCAAAAUCCUUAAAGAAAACAUAUGGACCAAUUAUCGAAUAUUCACUUGAUGCAUGGAAAAAGGUGGAAAAAAUUAUGGGUGGCCCUUUUCUAUAUACUAAGACAACUCCGUUAUGGCAUAAUAAUAGUUUAUGCACGGGUAAUAAACCUUUUGUUUUUAAAGCCUGGUCUGAUGCUGGUGUUCAUACAUUGAAUGACGUUUAUUGUGGUAAGGGCCUCAAAGCGUUUCAGGACUUAAGUGCAGAGUUUUCUUUACCUGGAUUUUCUUUCUUUUUAUAUUUAAGACUGAGGUCAGCUUUAAAGGCCUACGGCGUUCCUUGGACCACCAAUGUGCUCCCACACCCUUUGUGGGAGUGGUUGGACAUUAAUACUCCUUCUAGUGGUUCAGUUUCUAAGAUUUAUAACUCAGUCCCUUUACUGCAAUAUACUUAUAUUCCAGCUAUCUACUCCUGGGAAAGGGAAGGUCUUGCUCAACCUGAUUGGGACGUGGUAUGGAUCAGAUGUUUCACUGCUUCUAAGAAUCUUGCUCAUCAGAUGAUUCAUUAUAAAUGUAUCAACAGGGCCUAUAUCACUCCCAGUAUACUAUACAAGAUGAAAGCUAGAUCUGAUCCUUACUGUCAUUUAUGUAAUAAAUCUACAGUUGGUUCUCACUUGCAUAUGUUUUGGGAAUGCCCAGUGUUGGUUCCUUUUUGGAAAUUUGUAUGUUCUGUUCUUUCGGAUUUCCUGCACUUGGAUAUACCUCGAGAUCCCCUGCUUUUUCUAUUGUUAGACAAUUCCAUUCUCCAGCUGAAUGCUCAUCAAAAAAGGACCUUAUCAGCUGCAAGUACCGCUGCCAAAAAGACUAUUUUGAAAUUAUGGAUAGAACCAUCCAUUCCCACAACUUCUACCUGGCUAUCAUACUUCAGAGACAUUGCCUUGCUGGAAGGUACCACUGCCAGGCUCAACGGCGCAAAAGACAACACUAUUCGGAGUUGGGCAAAUAUUGCUGUGAUGUUGCUAGAUAGGCUGGAAAGUUGACAUUACUGCUAUGCAUAUCUGAAUUUUAUUUUUUUAUUUUUCUUCCUCUCCUUUGGUACAAGUGGACAGCUUCAUGGCAUCUGUUUGUACAUAGUUCUCUGGAACUGUGAAUUGUGAUAUAUGUUUCUGAUGUGAAACUAAAUCUGAAUAAAAAUGUU